rnacentral:pre_miRNA from 1 species
CUUAUACUCCUUCCGUCCGGAAAUACUUGUCGGAGAAAUGGAUAAAAAUAGAUGUAUCUAGAACUAAAAUACGUCUAGAUACAUCAAUUUCUCCGACAUGUAUUUCCAGACAGAGGGAGUAUUUA